GCCGCGGUGGUGAAAUGGCAGACACGCAACACUUAAAAUGUUGUGGGAGAAAUCCCGUGUGGGUUCGACUCCCACCCGCGGCACCA
rnacentral:tRNA from 1 species